rnacentral:rRNA from 1 species
AAUCAACGCUGGCGGCGUGCCUCAGACAUGCAAGUCGAACGCGAAAGUUCCCUUCGGGGGGCGAGUAGAGUGGCGCACGGGUGAGUAACACGUAGGUAAUCUACCUUUGGGUGGGGAAUAACAGCCGGAAACGGCUGCUAAUACCGCAUAAUGCAGCGGCUCGACAUCGAGACAGUUGUUAAAGCGGGGGAUCGCAAGACCUCGCGCCUAAAGAGGAGCCUGCGGCGGAUUAGCUUGUUGGUGAGGUAAUGGCUCACCAAGGCAUCGAUCCGUAGCCGGCCUGAGAGGGCGGUCGGCCACACUGACACUGACAUACGGGUCAGACUCCUACGGGAGGCAGCAGUCGGGAAUUUUGGGCAAUGGGCGCAGGCCUGACCCAGCAACGCCGCGUGAAGGAUGAAAUCCCUCGGGAUGUAAACUUCGCAAGAACA